CUGAAGUGGCUCCAACUGUCUCCAUCAUCAGACACACCCCCUGGCCCUGGCCACUGGGAGGUGCCCCAGAGACAGCAGGUGGGGCUUCUGCUCUCUAAAUACAGGAGGCCCUUUCAGCUUCUGCUCUAAGCUCCUUUUAAACCACCACUGGAGAUUGGAAAAAUCAAAACUUCACAGCAGUGAUAAGAGCACUGAAAAGAAGCAGAUUUCCUGAGUCUUGAAAGGAAGGGGAAUUGGAAGAUAAUAUUUUUCUCACUGCUGUGCCUGUGUUUUCUUAGGCCCAGCUAAAUCCAAGGCGGUCUCUCCCAGGCCUAGGCUCUCCGGAGGACUGCGCGCAGGCAGCUGCCGAGGGAACAAGGGAACUUGCUGCCCAAAAUGUGUAGCUGCGAGUCCAAGAAAAGGACACAAAAUCCUCAGGAAGAAGCUCACAUGGCGACACGAAGGGCAUUGGUGAGGAAACCAGCGAGGAGUCUGCAUGAGCCUGAGAUGUUGCUAAGCUCUCUGAUAUCUGCGGUGAGAGUGUCUACGCGAAGAUUACCCAUGCUGGGCUCCAGCGUUUCAACCCUAACCCCACAAUGAGCGCCUGGUCACUCUGUGGUCUAAACUCUGAGAGAAGAGAGCAUUCCAUACUAUACUACAUUUCGUACACAAUUAUUUGAUACAUGGAAGAAACCAUAAAUAUUAUUUAUCUUACCAUGGGCCUCAGAAUGUCCAAACACCACAGCUAAUUAGGGUUCAAUAAUAGAUUCAAUAAGCUGAAGCCUGUUUUUCUGGUUUAUCAAAACAAGUAAAGCAAUGGCCAUUACAUUCUAAUUUGUAAGCAUUUUGUUUGAUGGCUUUGAGUAGAAAGUACUUAGCUUUGCCUGUCCUAUAGGAGGUCCAGCCACCAUCUAAAGUCAGCACUAAACUAUAUCUGUUGCCAUUUACGAUACUUUUUUCCAUUUGUGGAAACAAGUUAUUUGUUAUAACCAAACAUAUAUUCAAAUACAGACGGAGCUUUUGCUAAAAGAUUAGAAAGUCAAUAUUUCCUAAUUGGCAAGGAGAAGGAUUUGGUCAAAGCCAAUGAGAAUUUCUUCUAUGAUCAGUCUUUCCCCAGGAGCUGGCUCCUGUGAAGAUUAUAACUCACCUGCUGCAGAUGCGAGUAAAGUUGACACUGUGAAGCAAAGCAUACUAGUAUAUUUCACCAUCUCAGGGUACCCCAGUUGAAAAGUUUUAAUCAAGACUCCCUAAACCAUGAUUUCUCAACUUCAGCACUAUUGACUUUGAGGGUAGAUAAUUCUUUGUUGUAGGGGCUGUCCUAUGCAUUGUCAAUGUUUAGCAGCAUUCCUGGCUGACACCCACUAGAUGCUGGUAACAUCCUCCUCACCAGUCAUGACAACAAAAAAUGCAUCCAGACAUUGCCAAUGUCCCCUGGGGAAGAAAAAUCACCCCCAGUGAUGCUCCUCCACUCCUUGUGCAUGAUAUACAUUAAUAUUUCCAUGGAGGUGACUUGCCAAGGUUCAUAACCUUGUCCUUAAGCAAGAAUUUGCAUGUGUGUGUACCUUUAUUUUUUUAAUGAAUUGAACAUUUAUUUAAAAUCAUAUUGUGCUAUUUAUAGUAUUCUUGUCUUGCAUGUUUUACUUAAUCACAUAUCCUCCAGAACUGUGAGAAUUUUGUUUCUGCUAUUAAGCUACCUAGUCUAUGGUAUUUUGUUAUAGAAGUUCAUAUUAACUAAAUACUAACUAAAUCAAUCUCUCUCUUUCUUCAUAAAUUUAUUUUUAAACUAUCUUUAAAAGAAUAUACUGUGAGCAUGAUUUCCAUUCUUAACAUAUUAAACAUUCAUUUUUCACUUUAUAAUGAUAGCAAAACAAAAUUAUCUGAUGUCAUGUUUUUUAAAACUAUAUAAUAAAAUUUUUAUUAUUUAAAAAAUUUAUAUAUACAUAUAUAAGUAAUAUGUAAAAUGAUAUAGCCACUCUGAAAAACAGUUUGGCAAUUUAUUACAAAACUAAGCACGCAAUUACCAUUUGACCCAGAAGUGAUUGUACUAUACCUGGUCACUUAUCCCAGAGAGAUAAACGUAUGCUCCCACAAAAAUCUGUACAUGAAAGUUCACAGCAGCUUCACUGGUGAUAGCCAAAAAAUGAAAACAACCUAGAUAUCCUUCAGUGAGUGAAUGUUUAGAAAGAAAAGAAAGUGGUAUAUUUACUUAUUUUCAUAGUAUAAAAGAUUGUAUUAUGAAAGUUAAUAUUAAAAUAUAUAAAUCCUUG
rnacentral:lncRNA from 1 species